rnacentral:tRNA from 1 species
GGGGACGUAGUUCAGUUUCGGUUAGAACGCCGGCCUGUCACGCCGGAGGUCGCGAGUUCGAGUCUCGUCGUCCCCGCCA